AAGAAUGCUAGUUGAGCGCUUCCAGCCAACACGGGAGCGCAGCGCACAGCUNAGNNNCNCGUGGCUAAUCUGCCCUUGGGACCGGAACACCNNNGGGAAACUGGGGCUAAUUCUCGAUAGGUAAAGAACUCUGGAAUGAGUCUUUGCUUAAAAGACGUUUACGUUAUGCUCGUAGACGUCGCCCAAGGAUGAGGCCGCGACCGAUCAGGUUGUUGGUGAGGUAAUGGCUCACCAAGCCUUUAACCGGUGCGGGCCGUGAGAGCGGGAGCCCGGAGAUGGGCACUGAGACAAGGGCCCAGGCCCUACGGGGCGCAGCAGUCGCGAAAACUUUGCAAUACACGAAAGUGUGACAGGGCUAUCCCGAGUGCCAUCCGCUGAGGAAGGCUUUUACCCAGUCUAGAACGCUGGGGGAAUAAGGAGAGGGCAAGUCUGGUGUCAGCCGCCGCGGUAAUACCAGCUCUCCGAGUGGUGUGGAUGUUUAUUGGGCCUAAAGCAUCCGUAGCUGGCUGAGUUAGUCCCUUGUUAAAUCCACCGAAUUAAUCGUUGGAUUGCGGGGGAUACUGCUCGGCUAGGGGACGAGAGAGGCAGACGGUAUUUCCGGGGUAGGGGUGAAAUCCUAUAAUCCCGGGAAGACCACCAGUGGCGAAGGCUGUCUGCUAGAACGCGCCCAACGGUGAGGG
rnacentral:rRNA from 1 species